GGCGCUCACCUGUCUUCAGUCUCCUCUUCUCCUAGGUGUAAGGUGAAGGGGCGCUCACCUGUCUUCAGUCUCCUCUUCUCCUAGGUGUAAGGUGAAGGGGCGCUCACCUGUCUUCAGUAUCCUCUUCUCCUAGGUAUUAGGUGAAGGGGCGCUCACCUGUCUUCAGUCUCCUCUUCUCCCAGCUCCUCCUAGGUGUAAGGUGAAGGGGCGCUCACCUGUCUUCAGUCUCCUCUUCUCCUAGGUGUAAGGUGAAGGGGCGCUCACCUGUCUUCAGUCUCCUCUUCUCCUAGGUGUAAGGUGAAGGGGCGCUCACCUGUCUUCAGUAUCCUCUUCUCCUAGGUAUUAGGUGAAGGGGCGCUCACCUGUCUUCAGUCUCCUCUUCUCCCAGCUCCUCCUAGGUGUAAGGUGAAGGGGCGCUCACCUGUCUUCAGUCUCCUCUUCUCCUAGGUGUAAGGUGAAGGGGCGCUCACCUGUCUUCAGUCUCCUCUUCUCCUAGGUGUAAGGUGAAGGGGCGCUCACCUGUCUUCAGUAUCCUCUUCUCCUAGGUAUUAGGUGAAGGGGCGCUCACCUGUCUUCAGUCUCCUCU